UAGUGAAAGGAAACCAAACAGGAGAAGGUAUGUGCUGUAUAGCUGUUCUGCAAAGAAGGAUAUAAUACACUGCAGUAUUAGAAGUAUGCUUAACUAGUAAUCAUUUCAGAAUGCAGAAACAAAUGUAGAAUGGAAUUAUGGGAAAAGAUAAACGAGGCAUCAACAGAGGUCGCUGUACACUAUGCGACUGUACAGAAUACGAAAUGAACACCUCAUCAUCUGAGUGUGACUACUGUGGCCAUCGGCCUCCUGCCCAUGCUGUUGCUGAUCAGGAGAAUAAUACCCAGUUAUCUUCAGUCCAGAGGGGAAUUUCACAUCUGUCCAUAUCUGCUGAAAGAGGUAAA